rnacentral:rRNA from 1 species
UACGUAGGUGGCAAGCGUUGUCCGGAUUUACUGGGCGUAAAGAGCGCGCAGGCGGUCGAUUUAGUCGCGUGUGAAAGCCCCCGGCUCAACUGGGGAGGGUCACGCGAUACUGAUCGACUCGAAGGCAGGAGAGGGUAGUGGAAUUCCCGGUGUAGUGGUGAAAUGCGCAGAUAUCGGGAGGAACACCAGUAGCGAAGGCGGCUCGCUGGGCCAUUCCUGACGCUGAGACGCGAAAGCUAGGGGAGCGAACAGG